rnacentral:rRNA from 1 species
CUGGUUGAUCCUGCCAGAGGUCACUGCUAUCGGUGUUCGACUAAGCCAUGCGAGUCGAAUGUAGCAAUACAUGGCGUACUGCUCAGUAACACGUGGACAACCUACCCUUAGGUCGGGGAUAAACCCGGGAAACUGGGUAUAAUACCCGAUAGUGCUCGGCUGCUGGAAUGCAUCGAGUACUAAAGCUCCGGCGCCUAAGGAUGGGUCUGCGGCCUAUCAGGUAGUAGUGGGUGUAGCGUACCUACUAGCCUACGACGGGUACGGGUUGUGAGAGCAAGAGCCCGGAGAUGGAUUCUGAGACACGAAUCCAGGCCCUACGGGGUGCAGCAGGCGCGAAAACUUUACAAUGCUGGAAACAGCGAUAAGGGGACCUCGAGUGCCAGGUUACAAAUCUGGCUGUCGUGAUGCCUAAAAAGCAUUGCAUAGCAAGGGCCGGGCAAGACCGGUGCCAGCCGCCGCGGUAACACCGGCGGCCCGAGUGGUGGCCACUAUUAUUGGGUCUAAAGGGUCCGUAGCCGGUUUGGUCAGUCUUCCGGGAAAUCUGACGGCUUAACCGUUAGGCUUUCGGGGGAUACUACCAGGCUUGGGACCGGGAGAGGUAAGAGGUACUACGGGGGUAGGAGUGAAAUCUUGUAAUCCCUGUGGGACCACCAGUGGCGAAGGCGUCUUACCAGAACGGGUCCGACGGUGAGGGACGAAAGCUGGGGGCACGAACCGGAUUAGAUACCCGGGUAGUCCCAGCUGUAAACUAUGCUCGCUAGGUGUCAGGGACGGUGCGACCGUUUCUGGUGCCGCAGGGAAGCCGUGAAGCGAGCCACCUGGGAAGUACGGUCGCAAGGCUGAAACUUAAAGGAAUUGGCGGGGGAGCACUACAACGGGUGGAGCCUGCGGUUUAAUUGGAUUCAACGCCGGG